GAAGGCCCGGUGGUGGCCGAGGAAGGAGCCGCCCAAGGCUGAGCCUGCAGGCGGGCUUUUCGUCUUCCUCGGAGACCCUCGCGGUGGGGCAGCGUCUCAGCUUGCCCGUGGCAGGUCCCCGCACCAAGGCUUCACCUCAAGGGCAUGAGUGGUGAGGGUCACCUGGGCUGGAUCGAACGCCUACACACACACCAUCGCCUCUCCUUCGCGGAGUGCUGUAGGUGUGAGAACGCUGAGCUCCAAGCUCACAAGAGUCUCGAAGGACUGUGUGGACAUAGCUCUGCGGACAGAGACCUGAAUCUCCGUGGCCCUCGGCAGCAGCUAGUGAGUUCAAAUAGGACAGUUUCUCUCCUUCUUCUUCCUCGUCCUCCUCCCCCG